rnacentral:rRNA from 1 species
ACUCCCAAACCCCUGUGAACAUACCUAUACGUUGCCUCGGCGGAUCAGCCCGCGCCCUGUAAAAAGGGACGGCCCGCCCGAGGACCCUAAACUCUGUUUUUAGUGGAACUUCUGAGUAAAACAAACAAAUAAAUCAAAACUUUCAACAACGGAUCUCUUGGUUCUGGCAUCGAUGAAGAACGCAGCAAAAUGCGAUAAGUAAUGUGAAUUGCAGAAUUCAGUGAAUCAUCGAAUCUUUGAACGCACAUUGCGCCCGCCAGUAUUCUGGCGGGCAUGCCUGUUCGAGCGUCAUUUCAACCCUCAAGCUCAGCUUGGUGUUGGGACUCGCGGUAACCCGCGUUCCCCAAAUCGAUUGGCGGUCACGUCGAGCUUCCAUAGCGUAGUAAUCAUACACCUCGUUACUGGUAAUCGUCGCGGCCACGCCGUAAAACCCCAACUUCUGAAUGUUGACCUCGGAUCAGGUAGGAAUACCCGCUGAACUUAAGC